GUUUACACUGUGGACUGCUCCAUGGGAAUGCAGACUGCUCUUGGUACUCUUUCUUAACAGGGACAGAAAAUAAUCCAUUGAUCCCAGCUGGGGUUGCAUGCCAUGCACCUGAACUGUGUUAGUCUGCUCUUGCAAAGAUGCCACAUCUGGACCAGCUGCUGUAAUUGUUGAGCUCGUGCAGUCUACUGUCAUCCUCCAGAAUCCGUCUGGUUUUUGUAGGGAGCAGAUGGGUGCCUGAAACAAAGAAAAGAAAUGCAGAUAAUUGGAUCUUCAUGACAUUUUCCCAACUGGCCACUUUCCCUGUAACAAGACCAAGCCUGUCUCUUCCAUUGUACUCUCGUGAGCUACCUGGGUCAGAACCUGAAAUCUUGGCGCAGAAGUCCUGUGGCCUGGUGAGUAGCUGUCUAGACCCAACUCCCUGGCUGGGUGGAUUAAACUUACUGCACCCUGAGUCUCUGGGUUUCUUGCCAGCUCCAGCCUAGCAGUGUAUGCCAAACCUCUGUUUCUCACCUGGAAAACUGCAGUGCUUGCUAAGUGGUCUUGUUUGUUAUCCUCUGAAAUCACCUUGUCUUGACUUUUCUACUUGUUUUUUAUCUGUUUCCCCCAUUAGCCUAUAAACUUCUCAUUCCCGGCAGCUGGCACAUGCAUGGCCCAAUAAAUAUUUCUUGAUUGAAUGGAAGGAGCUGUGAAUAGUGGCCUCCUCAAGCAAAGGACAUUUUAUCUCCCAAAGGGAAAUCUACUUUGUUGAUAUGAAAGUGAGCUUCUUAAUAGGUCUACGGGGCAACAUUUUGCUAACCCCAUUCAAAUUAUAACAGACUUCAAAGUCAUAAAGGCAGUAAUAUGCUUCCUUUUAAGUGUGUAAUUUGUAUUUUUUUACACCCAGGAAUGGAAAACAGGGAGUGAAAUAUCCCCCAAUUAUUAUUUUGUGCUUUUGAGGCAGGAUGGCCCACUCACCUGUGGGGACUCUGGUGGCCAAGCACCUCCCACCUCAUUCUUGGCAAUUGUUUUCAUCUGCCUCCCUUCACACUGGCCCUAGCUCAGGUCUGGAAUCUUCCCAGGGUCUGACCUCUGAGUGUCUGUCUCAUGCAAUUCUGCUGCCCUGGUAUUGACUCUCAGGACACAGAAGUAUACUCUCUGCCACAUUCAUGACCACCCUGGGUGACGUGUCAAGGCAUCUUAGUGCAGCCCUGAGUCCCUUGGAGGGAAAUGGCCCCAGUCUGCUUCCUGUUUGAGGUAGCUCUGUUCUGGAUCACUUGGUCCUCCCCUCUCCCUCCUGCCACUGCUGAUUGCAUUGUGGUGAUCACCCCAAGGUCAUCCCAAAGGCAGGCUGCCGUGUAGAGCCUGGCUUGGCACAGGAGGCCCCAGCCAAUGAUCUCUGAUGCUGACCUCAUGCUCCAGGUGCCUGAAACAAAGAAAAGAAAUGCAGAUAAUUGGAUCUUCAUGACAAUUUCCCAACUGGCCACUUUCCCUGUAACAAGACCAAGCCUGUCUCUUCCAUAUGGGUCAGCCAUAUCCCACCCACUCCUCCUGGGAUUUGACUUGGGGAAUGUGGACAGAAUCACACAGUCAGUAGAAGUUGGAAAGUAGGCGGAAGUGGCCACAUGGGGUAGGGACAUAUCAGAGUUAUGAUGAAUCAGAAGCAGAAGCCCCAAGUUGAAGAAGAGAUACAAAGCUUGGAAGCAGGAAGAGAUGGAGCGGACACACAAAGGAAUCCAACACUGGAGAACGGCAACGUAAAGGUGGCGUGCUAGGGGAAAGCUCCAGAAUUCCUGCAGCUGGGCGCUGGAGCCACCCUGAACUUUCAAAGACCUCCCUAUUCCAGUCUCCACAAUCCCAGGUCCUGGUAUGUCCCUGGAUUUGGGGGGAGAUUCUGGCUCCUUUGUAGCACCACAAUAAACCCUUAUUGCCUGAGUUAUCCCAAGUGACUCCCUGUUCUUUAUGGGCUCACAAGCCAACACACCAAAAGUAGCCACCAUCAAUGGGUUGGGGGCCCACACCAGCACUGGGGGGGGACAGGGGAGGUUCCAAAUAGCUAGCUCCUCUCAAAGGUUCUAAUACCCGCAGAGGUGGUUUAACUCCUCAAAGGUCUAAGCUCCAUUUUCUUUUCUUUUCUUUUCUUUUUUUUUUGAGGCAGAGUCUCACUCUGUCACCGAGGCUGGAGUGCAAUGGCAAGAUCUCAGCUCACUGCAACCUCUGCCUCCCAGGUUCAAGAGAGUCUCCUGCCUCAGCCUCCCAAGUAGCUGGGACUAUAGGCAUGUGCUAUGAUGCCUGGCUAUUUUUUGUAUUUUUAGUAGAGAUGGGGUUUCACCAUGUUGGCCAGGCUGGUCUCGAACUUCUGACCUCAAGUCAUCUGCCCACCUUGGCCUCCCAAAGUGUUGGGAUUACAGGUGGGAGCCACUGCGCCUGGCCUCAUUUUCUUUUUUUUUAAAAU
rnacentral:lncRNA from 1 species